rnacentral:rRNA from 1 species
CACGUAGGGGGCAAGCGUUGUUCGGAAUUAUUGGGCGUAAAGGGCAUGUAGGCGGUUUGGUAAGCCUGAUGUGAAAUCCUGCAGCUUAACUGUAGAACUGCAUUGGGUACUGCCGAACUUGAAUCACUGAGGGGAAACUAGAAUUCCAGGUGUAGGGGUGGAAUCUGUAGAUAUCUGGAAGAAUACCGGUGGCGAAGGCGGGUUUCUAGCAGAUGAUUGACGCUGAGGUGCGAAAGUGCGGGGAGCGAACAGG